rnacentral:rRNA from 1 species
GACGAACGCUGGCGGCGUGCUUAACACAUGCAAGUCGAACGGAAAGGCCCUGCUUUUGUGGGGUGCUCGAGUGGCGAACGGGUGAGUAACACGUGAGUAACCUGCCCUUGACUUUGGGAUAACUUCAGGAAACUGGGGCUAAUACCGGAUAGGAGCUCCUGCUGCAUGGUGGGGGUUGGAAAGUUUCGGCGUUUGGGGAUGGACUCGCGGCUUAUCAGCUUGUUGGUGGGGUAGUGGCUUACCAAGGCUUUGACGGGUAGCCGGCCUGAGAGGGUGACCGGCCACAUUGGGACUGAGAUACGGCCCAGACUCCUACGGGAGGCAGCAGUGGGGAAUAUUGCACAAUGGGCGGAAGCCUGAUGCAGCAACGCCGCGUGCGGGAUGACGGCCUUCGGGUUGUAAACCGCUUUCGCCUGUGACGAAGCGUGAGUGACGGUAAUGGGUAAAGAAGCACCGGCUAACUACGU